AGUGAACGCUGGCGGUAGGCCUAACACAUGCAAGUCGAACGGCAGCACAGUAAGAGCUUGCUCUUACGGGUGGCGAGUGGCGGACGGGUGAGGAAUACAUCGGAAUCUACUUUUUCGUGGGGGAUAACGUAGGGAAACUUACGCUAAUACCGCAUACGACCUACGGGUGAAAGCAGGGGAUCUUCGGACCUUGCGCGAUUGAAUGAGCCGAUGUCGGAUUAGCUAGUUGGCGGGGUAAGGCCCACCAAGGCGACGAUCCGUAGCUGGUCUGAGAGGAUGAUCAGCCACACUGGAACUGAGACACGGUCCAGACUCCUACGGGAGGCAGCAGUGGGGAAUAUUGGACAAUGGGCGCAAGCCUGAUCCAGCCAUACCGCGUGGGUGAAGAGGGCCUUCGGGUUGUAAAGCCCUUUUGUUGGGAAAGAAAAGCAGCAGGUUAAUACCCCGCUGUUCUGACGGUACCCAAAGAAUAAGCACCGGCUAACUUCGUG
rnacentral:rRNA from 1 species